rnacentral:piRNA from 1 species
UAGACUAGAGCAUUUAGUUGGUAGGUGAGA